rnacentral:rRNA from 1 species
UACAGAGGUCCCAAGCGUUGUUCGGAUUUACUGGGCGUAAAGGGUGCGUAGGAGGUCAAGAAAGUUGGAUGUGAAAGCUCACCGCUUAACGGUGAAACUGCAUUCAAAACUCCUUGGCUAGAGGAUCAGAAAGGAAAGCGGAAUUCUUGGUGUAGCGGUGAAAUGCGUAGAUAUCAAGAGGAACGCCAAUGGCGAAAGCAGCUUUCUGGAGGAUUCCUGACUCUGAGGCACGAAGGCUAGGGUAG